UUUCAAGGGGGCUUUACAUGAAUGCUGUUGAUAAAAAUUGUUCAGAGGAACUGGAUAAAAAAUGAUAACAUCAACUUGGGCAGCUUAAACUUUCUUGUUAAUUCUGACCGAAAUCUAAUACCCUGAAUCAAAAUCACCACAAGCCAAUAAAUGUGGAAUUAGUACCAAGGGAAAUUGUAACUUUUAAAAGGAGGCCACAAGGGAGGAGGUGGAGAGCCAGAUGGUCAUGGAGAAGGCAGUAGUAUAGUGGAGAUGAAGAGCUGUGGAGAUUCACAAAAUUGAAGGGGAGACUUGUAGGUCAUCUAGUCCAGCCCCUACUUGAUGCAAGAAAGCCAAGGAGAGAAGAUCCCCAACAGAUGGCUAACCUACUUCUAUUUUAAGACCUCCAGGGGAGGGGAGCUGACCUUGCUUACAUGGUCCAACUGUUAAGCUGCUCUUAUCUUUUUGGGACAUUUUCCCCACAACUAAAAUCUACCCUCCUGUAACUUAAGCCCAUUAGAUCCAGUCCUAACCCAGAGGUCUUUGUACUCUUCUAUGUGGCAACCCCAGAGUUAUUUGAAGACUACCAUCAUGUACCCUCACUCAAGACUUUUCUAGAAUAAACUUACCCAGUUCACUUAAACUUUCAUCAUAGAACUUGUUUUCCAAACCCCUGAUGAUCUUCAGUGUUGUCCUCUGAACACAUUCCAAUUUGUCUAGAUCAGCACCCAGAACUGGAUGCAGUGCUCCAACUGAGGCCUGACUAGUGCAGAAUUAUGUGAACAUUUACUUAUGACUUGCAAACUCCAGUUCUAAUGAACACACCCUAAAAUUGGUUUUGCCUUUGUGCUCCCACUGGAAGCUUCCCCCCCAAGCAAACUACAGGGGCAGGAGUGAUGCAGUUCAUGACUCAAAGGGCU